rnacentral:misc_RNA from 1 species
GAAAUGCGAUAAGUAAUGUGAAUUGCAGAAUUCAGUGAAUCAUCGAAUCUUUGAACGCACCUUGUGCUCCUUGGUAUUUCUUGGAGCAUGCCUGUUUGAGUAUCAUGAAAUCUUCAAAGUAAAUCUUUUGUUAACUCAAUUGGUUUCUACUUUGGUAUUGGAGGUCUUUGCAGCUUCACACCUGCUCCUCUUUGUUCAUUAGCUGGAUCUCAGUGUUAUGCUUGGUUCCACUCGGCGUGAUAAGUUAUCUAUCGCUGAGGACACUGUAAAAGGUGGCCAAGGUAAAUGCAGAUGAACCGCUUCUAAUAGUCCAUUGACUUGGACAAUACUUUUAUGAUCUGAUCUCAAAUCAGGUAGGACUACCCGCUGAACUUAAGC